UACGUAGGGGCGAGCGUUGUCCGGAGUUACUGGCGUAAGGGCAUGCAGGCGGUCGGACGCGUUUGUGUGACAGCGGUGGCUCAACUACGCGAGCAUACGAAGACGGUUUGACUUGAGGCUCGAGAGGGACACGGAAUUCCGGGUGGAGUGGUGAAUGCGUAGAUAUGCGGAGGAUACCGAUGGCGAAGGCAUCCCUGGACCUGUACUGACGCUCAUGCACGAAGCGUGGGGAGCA
rnacentral:rRNA from 1 species